UGCAAGUCGAGCGGAAACGAUCCCAGCUUGCUGGGAGGCGUCGAGCGGCGGACGGGUGAGUAAUGCAUAGGAAUCUGCCCGGUAGUGGGGGAUAACUUGAGGAAACUCAAGCUAAUACCGCAUACGCCCUACGGGGGAAAGCAGGGGCUCUUCGGACCUUGCGCUAUCGGAUGAGCUUAUGUCGGAUUAGCUAGUUGGUGAGGUAACGGCUUACCAAGGCGACGAUCCGUAGCUGGUCUGAGAGGAUGAUCAGCCACAUCGGGACUGAGACACGGCCCGAACUCCUACGGGAGGCAGCAGUGGGGAAUAUUGGACAAUGGGCGAAAGCCUGAUCCAGCCAUGCCGCGUGUGUGAAGAAGGCCCUCGGGUUGUAAAGCACUUUCAGUGAGGAAGAAGGCUUGUCGGUUAAUACCCGGCAGGAAGGACAUCACUCACAGAAGAAGCCCCGGCUAACUCCGUGCCAGCAGCCGCGGUAAUACGGAGGGGGCAAGCGUUAAUCGGAAUUACUGGGCGUAAAGCGUGCGUAGGCGGCUUGGUAAGCCGGUUGUGAAAGCCCCGGGCUCAACCUGGGAAUGGCAUCCGGAACUGUCAGGCUAGAGUGCAGGAGAGGAAGGUAGAAUUCCCGGUGUAGCGGUGAAAUGCGUAGAGAUCGGGAGGAAUACCAGUGGCGAAGGCGGCCUUCUGGACUGACACUGACGCUGAGGUACGAAAGCGUGGGUAGCAAACAGGAUUAGAUACCCUGGUAGUCCACGCCGUAAACGAUGUCGACUAGCCGUUGGGGUCCUUGAGACCUUUGUGGCGCAGUUAACGCACUAAGUCGACCGCCUGGGGAGUACGGCCGCAAGGUUAAAACUCAAAUGAAUUGACGGGGGCCCGCACAAGCGGUGGAGCAUGUGGUUUAAUUCGAUGCAACGCGAAGAACCUUACCUACCCUUGACAUCGUGCGAACUUGGUAAAGAUACCUUGGUGCCUUCGGGAGCGCACNGACAGGUGCUGCAUGGCUGUCGUCAGCUCGUGUUGUGAAAUGUUGGGUUAAGUCCCGUAACAAGCGCAACCCUUAUCCUUAUUUGCCAGCGAUCCGGUCGGGAACUCUAAGGGAACUGCCGGGGAAAAACCGGAAGAAGGGGGGG
rnacentral:rRNA from 1 species